rnacentral:tRNA from 1 species
GUGAACAUAAUUUAACUAAAACCUUAGGCUGUGGCUCUAAAAAUGAAGAAUAGUAUUCUUCUGUUCACCG